UAUGGUGCAAAAACUGGAUGCGACCUUGAGAUCUCGGCUGUCCAUGUUAUCACCGGCUGAAAGACUGCAAAACCUCCGGAAGAGACCGC